rnacentral:lncRNA from 1 species
CCAGAUCCUCUUACGUGAAUGCGAACAUUACCAUCCGAACGCGAAUCACCAGAUUAAGACCUUAUGCGAACGCAGAAUCUCAACCAUGAACACAAAGAGCAAAAUACCUGCCUUCCAAAAUACUUCUACGCGAUCGCGAGGGACAUCACACGAUCGCGAAGGCCAAAAUUUCUCUGCAACUGCUGCUGCAAUUUCUACAAUCUUCCAAGUCUCAUAACUUCCCGUUAUCCAUUCGAAAUUAUCUCGAGGUCCCCGGGACCUCAAUAAAAAGUACCAGCACAUCCUAAAAACUCAUAAAAACUUGUUCCAAUCAUCACAACACCUCAAACAAUACCAAAUCUAUCAAUUCACAUCGAGUUCAAGCCUAAGUUUUCUAAAACGUCCGAAAUAUGCUUUCGACCAAAAAUCCAACCAAGCCACGUCCAAAUGACCUAAC